rnacentral:ncRNA from 1 species
UUUUCAUUUUUUUACAAAAUCCGUUACGAAAUGAAAAAGAAGUUAUGUGGCGGCCGAAUAAUGGGGCAUUCUGGCUAUAUGCGGGAACAUCUGGAGUAUCCAAAAGUACCUGAUCGAAGGGUAAAAAUCUUUUGGUGCAGACAAUCCGCAGGGAAGUCGCAUGAAAAUGCGACCCCUCAACGACUACACGCCGGAGUCGCUUAAAAAGCGAUGUGAUAUAGUCUGAUCUUUGCGGCGACGCAAAG